AAGGAUGAAAGACGGUUUCGGCUGUCACUUACAGAUGGACCCGCGGCGCAUUAGCUAGUUGGUGGGGUAAUGGCUCACCAAGGCGACGAUGCGUAGCCGACCUGAGAGGGUGAUCGGCCACACUGGGACUGAGACACGGCCCAGACUCCUACGGGAGGCAGCAGUAGGGAAUCUUCCGCAAUGGACGAAAGUCUGACGGAGCAACGCCGCGUGAGUGAUGAAGGUUUUCGGAUCGUAAAGCUCUGUUGUUAGGGAAGAACAAGUGCGAGAGUAACUGCUCGCACCUUGACGGUACCUAACCAGAAAGCCACGGCUAACUACGUGCCAGCAGCCGCGGUAAUACGUAGGUGGCAAGCGUUGUCCGGAAUUAUUGGGCGUAAAGGGCUCGCAGGCGGUUUCUUAAGUCUGAUGUGAAAGCCCCCGGCUCAACCGGGGAGGGUCAUUGGAAACUGGGAAACUUGAGUGCAGAAGAGGAGAGUGGAAUUCCACGUGUAGCGGUGAAAUGCGUAGAGAUGUGGAGGAACACCAGUGGCGAAGGCGACUCUCUGGUCUGUAACUGACGCUGAGGAGCGAAAGCGUGGGGAGCGAACAGGAUUAGAUACCCUGGUAGUCCACGCCGUAAACGAUGAGUGCUAAGUGUUAGGGGGUUUCCGCCCCUUAGUGCUGCAGCUAACGCAUUAAGCACUCCGCCUGGGGAGUACGGUCGCAAGACUGAAACUCAAAGGAAUUGACGGGGGCCCGCACAAGCGGUGGAGCAUGUGGUUUAAUUCGAAGCAACGCGAAGAACCUUACCAGGUCUUGACAUCCUCUGACAACCCUAGAGAUAGGGCUUUCCCUUCGGGGACAGAGUGACAGGUGGUGCAUGGUUGUCGUCAGCUCGUGUCGUGAGAUGUUGGGUUAAGUCCCGCAACGAGCGCAACCCUUGAUCUUAGUUGCCAGCAUUCAGUUGGGCACUCUAAGGUGACUGCCGGUGACAAACCGGAGGAAGGUGGGGAUGACGUCAAAUCAUCAUGCCCCUUAUGACCUGGGCUACACACGUGCUACAAUGGACAGAACAAAGGGCUGCAAGACCGCAAGGUUUAGCCAAUCCCAUAAAUCUGUUCUCAGUUCGGAUCGCAGU
rnacentral:rRNA from 1 species